UAGUUUAACAUAAAACUUUACAUUUUCAUUGUAAAAAU
rnacentral:tRNA from 1 species